rnacentral:rRNA from 1 species
GUGGGGAAUAUUGGGCAAUGGGCGGAAGCCUGACCCAGCGACGCCGCGUGGGGGAAGAAGUCUUUCGGGAUGUAAACCCUUGUUGUACGGGACGAAGGAAGUGACGGUACCGUACGAGGAAGCCCCGGCAAACUACGUGCCAGCAGCCGCGGUAAUACGUAGGGGGCGAGCGUUGUCCGGAAUCACUGGGCGUAAAGCGCACGUAGGCGGGCUGUCAAGUCGGCCGUGAAAGGCACGGGCUCAACCUGUGCAUGUCGGUCGAUAGUGGCGGUCUGGAGUAUGGGAGAGGGAACUGGAAUUCCCGGGGUAGCGGUGAAAUGCGUAGAUAUCGGGAGGAACACCAGUGGCGAAGGCGGGUUCCUGGCCCAUGACUGACGCUGAGGUGCGAAAGCCGGGGGAGCGAACGGGAUUAGAAACCCGAGUAGUCC